rnacentral:rRNA from 1 species
UAUGUGAUCGUCUCUCGCAUAUCAAUAAGCGGAGGAAAAGAAACCAACAAGGAUUCCCCUAGUAACGGCGAGUGAAGCGGGAAGAGCUCAAAUUUGAAAUCUUAAAGGGUUUCCCUUUACGAAUUGUAGUUUAAAGAAGUGUUUUCUGUUGAGGUUUUGGUAAAAGUUCUUUGGAAUAGGACAUCAUAGAGGGUGAGAAUCCCGUAUUUGACCUUUACUUUCAACUUUGUGAUACACUUUCAAAGAGUCGGAUUGUUUGGGAAUGCAGUCCAAAAUGGGUGGUAAAUUUCAUCUAAAGCUAAAUAUUGGCGAGAGACCGAUAGCGAACAAGUACCGUGAGGGAAAGAUGAAAAGAACUUUGAAAAGAGAGUUAAACAGUACGUGAAAUUGUCAAAAGGGAAGCGUUUGACACCAGUGUUGUUUUUCUGAAAAUCAAUUAAAGAACUGUUUAUGCUAAGUUGUUUAGACUUUAUCAGCUAACUGUUUAGUUUUGAGCUUUUCUUUAAUGCACUUUUCAGUUAACAAGUCAACAUCAAUUCUUUUGCUGUAAAAAAGCUUGAGGAAGGUGGCUUGAGAUUCGUCUUAAGUGUUUAUAGCCUCUUGCCUAUGCAGUCGGAGAGAUUGAGGUCUGCAGCGUAGAUCCUUCGGGGCUAAAUGCAUUUGUGCUAAGUUAUAGCAUUUUAUAGACAACUUGUUGACUAUGAUUUGUCUUGUAGCUUACUCGCUUAUGUUAUUUUACCUACGCUUAGGAUGUUGACUGAUAUGUAGUCGU